CUUAGUGCAUCAAGAAUUUGCAACUUGAAAGAAAAUAGCUGAGGAACAACAGCUUUGAUCAUUUUAUUUUUAACAGUAAGGGAAGAAGCAUUUUAUGUGCAUGAAGCCUCAGCCUUCUCAUCCCAUGAGAACUGUAAUGCCAGAACUCGGGAGUAUUUGGAAUUAGGACAAUAAUGCCCGAAUUUAGGAGCAUGUGCAGAACUUCCAGUAAGGUUCACCUGAAGCUCUCUCUUCUCCAGAACUUGAAUCAAUCAGAGAUUCAACUUGAAGAAUGGUUAGGCUUCUUUGAAUCAAGCUUGAGGACAUCACACAACUCUAAGCCGUAACCUGGAAGAAAUGGGUAAAACAGUGGCCAGUAUAAGUACUUUCAGCAAUUUUUUUUCUAUAAUUUGUUUCAGCAUUGGAAUUAUUAAGCUUAAAUACGUUCUGAUUGGUAAUUUCAGAUUGGAG
rnacentral:lncRNA from 1 species